UACGAAGGGGGCUAGCGUUGUUCGGAAUUACUGGGCGUAAAGCGCACGCAGGCGGACUGAUCAGUCAGGGGUGAAAUCCCGGGGCUUAACCCCGGAACUGCCUUUGAUACUGUCAGUCUCGAGUCCGGGAGAGGUGAGUGGAAUUCCUAGUGUAGAGGUGAAAUUCGUAGAUAUUAGGAAGAACACCAGUGGCGAAGGCGGCUCACUGGCCCGGUACUGACGCUCAGGUGCGAAAGCGUGGGGAGCAAACAGGAUUAGAUACCCUCGUAG
rnacentral:rRNA from 1 species